rnacentral:rRNA from 1 species
UACGUAGGGUCCGAGCGUUGUCCGGAAUUAUUGGGCGUAAAGGGCUCGUAGGCGGUUCGGCAAGUCGGGAGUGAAAACUCGGAGCUUAACUCCGAGCCUGCUUCCGAUACGGGCAGACUAGAGGUAGGCAGGGGAGAGCGGAACUCCUGGUGUAGCGGUGGAAUGCGCAGAUAUCAGGAAGAACACCAGCGGCGAAGGCAGCUCGCUGGGACGGUACUGACGCUGAGACGCGAAAGCGUGGGGAGCGAACAGG